rnacentral:piRNA from 1 species
UAGAGUGGGACAUUGCCAGUGCAUGGCUGU